ensembl:lincRNA
AAAUUGCCCGUCUCAUGACAAUCUGUAGUGUUUCCGUUGUAGAGGUUACCUCAAAAUAUUUUGUCCCCAUUACAGUUGCGGUCAGGUAUCCGUGGAAACGGCCGAAGAUCCAAAGAUGGCAAAACCUGGGUGUGGGAGUCUGUCAGACCCAGCUGGCAGGUAUAUCCCGCAGCCAGCCUCCAGCGAACAGCAGGGCAGAGGUAUGGAGAUGUGGACUCCAACACAACAACGGACCUUGUCUGUUGCUGAUGAACUGGAAACUGGAAGCCUCUGUAAUGAGGAUAACCCUGAAGGGCCAUCUCAAGAAACAACAGAUACCACUGCCGUGGUAAGGCAACAGUUCCCUUUAUUUAAAUGUAUACAGAAUUUCUGCAUUCUUGCAGUACAAAACUUGUGCAAAAUAAUCCAUCUCAAAGGACUUUGCAUUUAAAGAAAGUACCAUUUUUGUUAUUAUGUUUGUUCAGAGUAUAUUUGUGGGCUCUAAAAUCUAGCUACCAUGUCUGGGUUAUUAAGAUCUACUUAUUGUUAACUUUGAAUCUGAAACAACAGUCCCUAGCUACAGUAUUAACACUUGACCAAUAUUUAACUCAUAUUUCCUUGUUGUAUAUUUAUUCAAAUGAGUGGUGAACCAGUGAAAGUACAUUCAUUAUUAAAAGCUGAGGAGAAAAGAUAGGUUUUAAGAGGUUUACAAAUGUUGACAGUCACAGAGUUUCUAAUGGGUUUGGGCAUCUAGUUUCAGAGAUAUGCUGCUGAUCUUAGAGCUUGAUCUUCAACAGAGAAAAAAGGUCUGAAUCAAAGAUAAAACUUUCAGUGCACAGUCUGUUAUUCUUUAAAUGGUAAUUAAAUGUUGUGUGGACAUUCUUCGUGUUUUCUGUUGUAUCAUAAAAAAAGUUUUUUAUUGUCACAUUUUUUUGUUUGCACUUAGCUUUUUUGUUUUUGUUUUACAGAAACACAGUGUGGAGAGCCCUGCACAUUCAUGUGCUGAAGGUUAUGCCAGGCUGACCCUGGAGCCUGUGGUAGAAUCAUCUGAAUCAGUAGGUGCUGGGACAGAGGGAACAAGUGAUGAAGGAACACAAAAGAAGAGGAAACUGCCAGUAAGGACAAGAAGAGGGAAGCUACAAGUAAAACCCAACACUUCAAAAAGGAAACCUGUGGAGCGCACAGAGGGCCGAGGAAAAUCUGAGACCUUGCCAGCGCAGGAGGAUCCCCCAUCCCGAGUCCGGACAACGCAGUGUGAAGACCCCAGGCCCGAGGGGGCUCUGGGCCUCACAGGGGAGUCACAGUCGUCCGCUGCAGACGUGCCCCCACAGCGUCACAGGGGCAGAGAAGGACCCUCAAACCAGGACAGCUUAAUGUCUGCUGAAAGAGAUACAACAGAGAGCAGCAGUGGAGAAGAGAAUCCAUCCUCCAACUUACACAUAAAGCCGUCACCCUCUGGUGCUCCAUUGAUAAGGCCUGGGAGAAAACCUAGAGGAUUUUUGUCUUUUAUUUCGGAGAAAAGUACCCCUACGUCUCCUAGUGUCCCCAAGACUUGCAGAUCUGCAACACACAAACCUCAGAUUAAUACCUCUGGGAUGGAGAGAAGGAAAAGGACUGCUGUUGUAGCUGCUAUGAAGAGCUCGUCAAAUUCCUCCAGUGAUAGCCCAGCCGGUAGAAGAUCACAGGCUUGGGCAUUUCAAAGCAAGCUUUCACCACAGUCAACCUGUACGCCAGGCUUCAAAACCAGGACUUUAGAAUCUCCGCCACAACCUCCAAAUGAGGUCCUCUGUGUUGACAGUUCGAACACUGAUGAAGAACCAACUAAGGUCUCCGAGUAUUUCUUCAGUGACAUCUUUACAGAGGUAGAUGAGCCAGAUUGAAACUGGCAAAGUCAUCGUUAUUUAUUUGUUCAAACAGACCUCCUUCAUCAAGACUGCAGAAGGACUUUGCAUCAGUGCUGGAUCCAAACCACAGUUUAUCUUGCAAGUUAAUGCAGCUGUUCUUUUGUCACAGUGUAAGAUGAAAUGCGAUUUCAAACCUUGCUUCAAAAUUGACCUGAACAGGUCAUUCUACUUGGAAGAGAAAUUUUCACGUCCAUAUCUGCAACUGUGGAAAUUUAUACCCGUCAUAUUCCAUUGAUUCCCAUAAAUCCAGUUAGUGAAGGUUUUAACAAUAAUGUGCUGUAUUCUGUUCUGGUAUGAUUAUUCAGAGUACAGGGAAAUAACAUAGGUAAUCCUUCAUCUCCAACUGGCCUUUGAGUGUUCACUUUUUUUCUCUUCUACAUUAUUUCAAUCAGGCAAUUAUAGAACUUGAAUAAAUUCUAACAAAUCUUCAUAUCUGUUGAAUGCUUCUAAAGAACAGAUUAAAGUGCAAUUCUAAUAUUUUGGUUUGUUGGUAUUCAAAGGUUUAUGUAAAUGUUAGAAAUGUUAAAUAUUUAGAUUGAUCUGAAAGGGCUGGAAUAUUUAUCAGUGUAGCAAAUAAAGCCUUUUAGAGUUUGAAGUCAUCUGACAGGCUAGCUUUUAUAUUUAUAUUUUCCAGACAAUUAUGUUUUAUUGAAAAUGCAUUCUUUAUAACUUGAAUUGCGGUCUCAUCCCUAACUCUUCCUGUAAAUCCUGUAACUCUUGCAAAGGAAAAAAGGUUUUAGGGUUUGACUACACUUUAUUUCAUUUUAGUGUUUUAAUAAUUUGAAGUAAAACAUUAUCAUGAGAAAAAUAGAGAAUAAAUUCAAUUUUAAGGGUUCUCUGAAAUUCCUGUAUCUUUUUUUCCCAAUUGUUUUUUGAAGACAGUAGGAUCCAUUAUCCCCAAAUUUAUUUCAAAGAAGACACAAAUGCAGGAAUUCAUGAGCGGCUCAGAGAGCAGGUUGAGCCUAUAAAUCACUGAUUUAAAUCUGGACUUCGUCAAUAUUGCCAAGGAUUACCUAAGCAGUAGCCUGAACAGAACUUAAUGGUCUGACAUUGCAUGUUUCAUAGAAUUUUUUUCCUCUUCACUUGUCAUCCUGCCAUGAGAGUUGUAGUUUUAACUGAACUAUUGUCUAAAGUCAUUUAAAAUAAUGAAGUCAAAAACUGUUAGAAAGUCUUAUUAACACUAAGUAGAGUUCAAUGAAUAUUUGUUAAACCUACACUUUAUGAGUUAUAUCUUCCUAAACACUGAUUCAUCCAAAUAAGUAGUGUGGAUUCAUGUGGAGUUGAAGACUUAUAUAUUGAAACCCCAGAUUGAAUUCUAAUUAUACUACAAAUAGGAGGAUUCCAUCCUCCUAUUUUAUGAAAAGUUGAGCAACAAAACUAAUUGGCAAUUAAAGAAAAGUAUACAUAAGUACAAUAUAUAAUUUUAAAAUGUUAUGCUGUGGUAUGAAGUCCAUUACUUCUGACUUCUUAUCAGUUUUUCUAGAAUACAGUUGCGAGAUAAAAACCUAAUACUAUUCCACCAAACGUUUAACAUCUAGCUGGUCAGAUUUAUACAUGUGUAGAGAAAUCAAUCUGAUGAACUGGAAUCACUUGAAGAAAGACUAAUUUAGGGUGACCUAUUCUUGUUUAUUAAGUGCUGCAAAAGCACUGAUUUGACAGGCUUUCAUUUUGUACAUUUACAGUGUACACUUAGUUACAGUGAUGAAAACUAGAAGUGAUUCAUAUUACUACCAAAGUUUUGGUGUUUUUGAACUGUACUUAGGUGUUGUGCUUAGGCAAAUAUUGGAUAUGCAUGUCAAAUCCAUUAUGCCUACUUAAAGAAUUGGACUGUCUUGGGAUUCCUGCAGAGAUUAAGAAAUUGUCUUAAGAAAAUGUUACUCUCAAUAAUGACCCUUCUGUUUUUUUUCCUCAUCAAAAACCUUGUAUCCUGUGCUGUGAAGUGUAAAUUGAUCAUGCCUUUAGCCUAGUUUUUCCUGAUGUGCUUCUGAUAACUGAUAGAUAAGAAACAGGUUUGUUCAGUAACUUGAAAGCAUUCAAACUGAUAAAUAUUUAACAGGUAAUUAAUAUUUCAGAGCAGAGCAAUCUUUAUAAAUCUGUUUCCAAGCAAUUGAAAGGCUUCCUACAAUAAAAUGCAUUCCAGUCCUGAAUAUGUUUGAAUGAAAGUCAACUCGUAGCAUUGUUAAUUUCAUGUUAGAGAUUGUUCGUUUCUAAUGAGUAGAGAUAUUCAUUAGAUUAUCUUAUCUUUUUAUUUAUCUCUAACCAUUGUUUUAAGGGUGCCUCUUAAUUUUGUAAUUCAGGUGUGUGUAGUUAGUCUACUGUAUUUAGAGUAACCACACAUACUGUAUUUUUCGUUUGUCCACUCAGCACAUUUGUAGUGUUACUAUAAUGGUACUUCUUGGUUUGCAUUAAAUAAGCUGUUUUUUAAAUGCUCAUAUCUGGCAUAAAGUACUUUAUGAAAGAAGUAGAAAACGUUAUAGAUAUCUAAAGAAUGUAAUGCCAUAUUCAGAAGAUUGGUGGAUUGCUUUUAAGUUACACUGAUGCAGGAUUGCUGUUUCCUGAACCUUAUUUUUAAUUAUUAUGCUUUUUUCCUCAUGAAGGACAAAUGUUCAUUGUGCAUUAUGAACACAUUCAUAUUAUAGGAUAGGUAAGUGCUUGGAUUUUGAUAUCCUUGCUUUUGAAAUGUCUGCAUCUUGGGAAUCAAAACUUUAAAUCUGUACCUAAACUCUUACUAAACUGUUGGAUUUUGCUGGUAAUAUGUAAAAGAGAAACAUCAAUUAUGUAAAGGACUUAAAUAUAGUUACAGUUCUUUGAAGAUCUUUGCACUUACUGGGUGGAAGAAAAAAAGAUUAAUUUUUGCUCCACAUUUUUUUAAGUCAUUCAUAGUAAGAUAACAGGUGGAAAUUUCUCUCUCUUUUCCCCUUGAACUGUUGUAGAUGCUGUUGUUAUAUACAGAAUGCUCUGGGAUGAAAAUUGAAAUAUAAAUGCAAGGAAUUGUUACAAUUCUUUCCUUUUUGGAUCCAUAUUAUUAGGGCAAAGAAAGUACUCUUACCUCUGUGAAAGAACCAAUUUUUCAGAAUCAGUCUUUACUGGUAUAUUGUCCUGAGUGUCACACAAAGUUAAUCAUGUACAGCCAGCAGCCAUAUCACCAUGCAACCCACUGAAGCUCAGCAGGUGUGAGCCUGGCCAGUACCUGGAUGUUAGACCUCCGGGGAAAAACUAAGGUUGCUGCUGGAAGAGGUGUUAGUGGGGCCAGCAGGGGGUGCUCACCCUGCAGUCCACGUGGGUCCGAAUGCCCCAGUAUAGUGAUGGGGACACUAUACUUUAAACAGGCGCCGUCCUUCGGAUGAGACGUAAAACCGAGGUCCUGACUCUCUGCGGUCAUUAAAAAUCCCAGGGCGUUUCUCGAAAAGAGUAGGGGUGUAACCCCGGCGUCCUGGCCAAAUUUCACAUUGGCCCUUACCAAUCAUGGCCUCCUAAUAAUCCCCAUCUAUGAAUUGGCUUCAUUACUCUGCUCUCCUCCCCCUUGAUCCUGAUGUGUGGUGAGCAUUCUGGCCACUAUGGCUGCCGUUGCAUCUUGUGUUAAAACCUCUAUUACUGGAAUAAUGCAGAUACAAAAAACAAAGCACUUUUAUGCAGUCAACAUAUCGGUUGUUUUUCAUUGUAUAACCCAGUUUAUUGAAAGAGGUGCAUGUCCAGAAACAAUAAAAGUUUACAUUUAAAAAUGUAGACACUUUAAUUAAGCUAAUAAACUGCUUUUGAAUCUUUAACACUAAUUCACAGUGGAAAUGAUUCAUCUUUUGUCUCAGCAGUUUCAAUAACAAAUAGUUGUGGAUGAAGAAUUUUUAUCAGUUGGAAGUGGCCAUAAUUUGAUGAUGGAGAAACUGGUUCUUGGAAUUGUAAUAUUGAUGAAAGCAAAACUUCUUUGAGAAAAAAUAGAGAUUAUUGGGGGAAAAAAAGUUGUUUAUCCUGUAAAAUAUGUUAAUAAAGGUUUUAUACAAAUGUGACUUGUUUUCCUUUGUCGUUAAUAAUAUGGAAACGUUCUUAUGGAGUAUCCUUAUCAUGGUGCAGCUCCAUUUAGCUUGUUACCUGUUCAAUGACACAUUGACUUUACAUACAUCCGUACAUUUUUUUCCCAUACGCUUCUCACCAUAUGCUUCUU